rnacentral:lncRNA from 1 species
GAUUUGUAUCCUAUUGACACGAAUCUCACGUUUGAUCCACAAAUUGUGGAGUUAAUUGUUCCAAUGGUCACUGAAUUUAUGUCCAUUUAUUUGAUUGGUCACUGAACUUUGAUAAAUAUCGAGUUUAGGUCAUUGAACUUUGAUAAAUAUCGAGUUUUGAUCACUGAACUUAGGUCUAUGUCUUCGAUUUCUCAUUGAAGUUUAAAAUGUUGAGUUUGGUCAUAGAACUUUGAAAAAUUUUAUACAUUACUCACUGAAUUUUAAAAAAUAUUGUACAUUACUCAUCAUACUUUAAAAAAUGUUUUGCAUUAUUCACUGUAAAUUCGAUAUUUUUUUAAUAUUCAAUGGUUUGCUAAUGAGUAACGUAUGGUACAUUCCAAAAUUCAGUGGUCAAAACUCGACAUUUUAAAUUUCAGUGAGCAAUUUAAGACAUGAACAUAAGUUCAGUGAGCAAUUGAAGACAUUGACCUAAGUUCAGUGACCAAAACUCAAUAUUUUAAAUUUCAUUGUCCAAUCAAAGACAUGGACUUGAGUUCAAUGAUCAAAAUUCGACAUUUUUCAAAGUUCAGUGGUCAAUCAAAGACAUGGACCUAAGUUCGAUGAUUACUGGAACAAUUAACUCCAAACUGUGACAAGGCCAAGCACCAAUAAAAGGAUUUUAAAUCUAGCACUUGUCUGUUUCUGAUUUUUCACCUGAUUUUAACUAUUUUUCUUACCGUUGCCC